rnacentral:siRNA from 1 species
GCAAAAUGCCAUGGCUUGCCA